rnacentral:lncRNA from 1 species
UUUUUUCUCUUUUUUUUUAAGUCAAGUACUUUCUUAAAGAAACAAUAGCACCACAUUGGCGUAGCUGGCCAAACAGUAAAGGGGAAAGCAAAACACGCUGCGUCCUGUCUUCUGCGCAUCCUCCCAAGUGCACAAACUGUAACAGAAACCCUGGAGCCGUGGCGUCUGAGACGGUUUCAUCUACAGACAUAACCACGUUUUACAUUGACAUUCAAAGAAGGAGAAGGAGUCUCAAGCGGCAUGGGUCGAUUUUUUUUUUUUUUUAAAGAUAGGAUUUUUCAAGGAAAUGAUUUCUUCUAACUCUUAGGGUGAAUAGGUGUGUGUGUGUGUGUGUGUGUGUGUGUGUGUGUUCGUGUGUGCACAUGCGCACAAGUGCACAUGUAGGGUAGGUACGUGUAUGGGUAUUUAAAAAAGGAUUUUUUUUUAACCGCAGGAAAAUAGAUUAUAAUGGAGAGAUGCAUUAACUUUUUCAGUGGAGUAGACUCAUUUUACAAUGUUUUCGAGCACUUGAUAGUCUUUGGAGAAUAGGAUCAACCAUUGACCUAGGUAGGUACUGAGUAUUUUUUUAGGUAAAUCAGCCAUAAUCCUAUCAAAUGAAAAACUCCUCCUUCCUACCUAUCUUUUUAUUUCCUUUGUGCAUUUACUAAAAUUGCUCCAUGUCUAGACACUAAAACAAUUCACCUCCACAGCAAAGCUUACAAAAUUUCCAGUUGUAAGAUUUUAAAGAAUGUCCCUUUCUAUCGCUCUUCAGUCAUCAUAUCCUGAUCAGCUGGCUUUCAGAGUUUACGUAGAUUUGUCUUACAGGGUUCAUUCAUUUAAAAGUGCAAGGCUGCUUUAGUAUCCUUAAUUAGUAGACUGACUUUUUCUGACUUGAUUUCCGAUCCAGUUGGAAAGAACUAAGCAUAGGACUGCAUACUUGAGCUCUCCCCGAGGAGAGAAUUUCUGACUGUGUAUAGAAGUAAAUGAAGAAAAUAUGUUGAUAGACACUGGGAAUCAUCGAAGCCAACCAUGGCAGGAAGCCCACCGAUCUGGAGAAGGCCACCUCUAUUGUCUUUCUGGGGACAACCGAUUUGUAAAGGUAC